UUAAAAUUCUGACUUUCACUGAUUUUAUUUACAUUUCAUUGAUUUCUUCAGAUCCCUGUAAAUCAGCCCUUCAUUUCUCAGUGGAAGGAGAGGUCCUGCUGGAGUGGAAGAAGAAUAAUACAGCUACAGUGCUGCAGACAUGGUAUAUGAUGCAUAGCAUAAGGAUCAUCCCCAGAGGAAGAAUUUGAAGUUUGAAUAUCUUAUUUGUGAUCUGACUUUUGUACUGGAAAACUCAAUAGCAAGGUUAGUCUCAUUCAUAUUUGUGUAAUUAAUAUCAGAACAGAGUUCAAAGCUUCUGCUUCUGGUUGUAGUGCUUUGGUUUCUCAUUAAUCAGAAC
rnacentral:lncRNA from 1 species